rnacentral:rRNA from 1 species
CUCGACUACAUGAAGCUGGAAUCGCUAGUAAUCGCAGAUCAGAAUGCUGCGGUGAAUACGUUCCCGGGUCUUGUACACACCGCCCGUCACACCAUGGGAGUCGGAAAUGCCCGAAGUCUGUGACCCAACCUGAGAGGGAGGGAGCAGCCGAAGGCAGGUCUGAUGACUGGGGUGAAGUCGUAACAAGGUAGC